UCUCGCAUUCGAUUACGCGAGACGAUCGGGCCGUUCGAGAGGCGAACGAGCGAGCAAGCGAACGGCUGCACCGGGCAAUACCAUGGAAUGGAAUGGAACGGAACGGAAUGGCAGGAGUGUUACAAAAUAUCAGCUUUCACCGUAUCAGCGCGUUACAGCUUUACACAGACUGACUCGAGUACAACUCCGCGAUGUACUUUACUUCUUUCUGUCUCCUUCGUCCUCGACGUUCGUUGUCAUCGAAGACAUAACGUCAUCGCGCGCCCUCUGGCAAUAUUUAAGAUCGUUUUUAUGCGUUCGAUCUAUCGACACUUCAUUGUUAAUCGUGAUCGUUCUUUCAGUGGAAUUGUCCUCGACCAUCUUUUUUAUUCUUGGAGAUCGAUGAUAAUCGUAGAUAUAAUCAUAGUUAUUUGAUCUCGGACAUUUGUGGUCGUUGGUAUUCUUAUGGCAAUGCAAGUGAUAAGUAGGUUGAGGUUUUAGGUUAAAUGUUUGAGGAGCCGAGACAGCCACGUCUAUUUGGUUAACAGCCUAAUAAAGAUAGCUCAUGGCUGGUUGAAGCGGUUUCGUUGGACCUCUAUUGGGAGCUCUUGAUGGGUAGAUAGUACGAAAAUGCAGUCAGAGGAGAUCGAGAAAAUAUUGCGUCACCGAACUAAGUCAUUCGUUAAUAGGAAUUGCAUUCGCAUAAAAAAAUAUAGCAGUUGCGGUUGAUUGCGGUGAUCAGUCGUUUCCUCGAAAAGAAAUUCGUAACACCGAUAAACAGAGAAAGAGAUCUCGGUGACUCCAUUGAUCAUUGCAUAAGAUAGAAGAUUGAAUGGCCUGAAUCAAGAUAUUUAACGAUACUAAAAAGAAAUCAGAUAAAUUUAUAAAAUUUUUAGGUUAAGAACUCUAAUAUCGUCUCUCUGAAAUCCUAUUGUUUUUAUCCAAAAUCUGAAAUCUUAUUGAUUUUGUAAUAUAACAAAAUUAUUAUAAUUACUUAAAUAAUUAAUAAUGGAUACAAGAAAUUUUUUUUUAAAACACUAAAAUUUUAAAAAUUUAAGAAAUAAGAAUAAAAAAAUAAAAAUGAUAAAAACGAAAACGAAACUUCAAAAAAUUCAUUUAUGAUAAUUCAUAUUUAAAAAAAAAUUAAAAAGUUUAAUGUUUCUAACUAUUUCCUAACUAUAACCAAAAUGAAUAUCUUACUAGAGAUAAAAGACCCCGUUAUGUUAUUGUAAUUUAAACCGAUCCUCUAUAAUAGAAGCGAUUAGUCACAAACGUUAGUUUCAUUUAAUAACUAUAUUUUAAAAUUGCUGACGGAGUAUCGAGAGAGUUGUAGAUAGAAGUAUAUAUAAUUGUGAAUGAUCUAAACGUCAGAUUAGAUAUAAUUUUAAGUGAUCUUGUAUUGACAAUAUGAAUUAUGAUUUAUUCUUAGGAAACAAGGUAUCCUGAUAUCAUUAACAAUUUUAGAACAUGUCUAAUUCUCUUAGUCUGUUCUAGUUUGUGAUUGUAAUUUUUAUCUUGCCAUUUGAUCUAUUUUUAUUUCUAUAUUAAUGUGAAUUUUAAUAUAUUUAUAAUUUUAAUAGAUUAAUAUAAUUAAUAAUUUUAUUAUUAAAUAUUAUUAUAAUAAUAUUAUUAAUUUAUAAUAAUAUUAUUAAUUUAAUAUUAUUAAUAUAAUUUUAAUACAUUAUAAUAAUUGACAUUUUCAUGUACAUGAAUUAGAUAUUGUAUGGAAAAAUUACAUUGAAAGAUUCUAAACCAAUUACGUGAAAAAUUUGAUUAUUAUUUAAAUUUUUAUUAUAUAUUUAUAACAAAUAAUGAAAACAAUUUUUUAAUACUGUCUUUUUAAAAAAUCUUUUCCUUAUCAUAUUAUUAUUAUCAAUAAUAUUGAAAAUUUUGAAAAAAUAUCUCAAUGUAAAUAAGAAUGCAUUUUAUUUUUCCCUUUUAGACAUCCUAAUUGUUAUUCGAGUCGUUUCAGAGAGUGCAGCAUUCUAUCGAGAGGCCACCUACGUUCACGUGGAACUCCACGUGAGGGAGAGCUCAAUGUUGCGUGCGAUUGAAAGUAAACUUUUUUCUUUUCUAUCGAUCACAACUAGCCAGCGGGACCUAUGUAACUCGUAAACUGUCGAUUCGUUGUAUUUUUAAUCACAGCACACUAUGAAACCGUUAUAUCGAAUGUCUUACAACUUGUACGUGUCAUCUUGUGACCCUGACACAGUGAAGUUCAAUUGAACUCUACUUUCUAUUUUCAUUGUUAAUUGAUAAAAUUAAUGAAAUUUGUUAACAUAUUGACAUAAUACAAGUUUUUUAAAAUUGUAAAAGUUGUAAAGUAGAUCAUCUUAAUGUUUUAAUAUUAUCAUAUAAUCUAAUUUAUUAUAUUAAAUUUUUGAAUUUGAAGUAAGUAAAAAGUCCCAAUUAAAAACAAAAUUAAAUUAAUUUGAAAAAAGAUAAAUGUAUGAAUGUAAUAAUGUAAUGUGAAUAUAUAAUGUGUUUUUCAAUAUAUAUCUGAUAUGCAACUGAAUGCACAUGAAGUCAAUCUCUAUGAAUUUAAUUAUAUUUUAAAAUUAUAUUAGUCAUAAAAAUAAAAAAAAUAUCAUAUAUUACAUAUUAUAUAUAUGUAUAUAUUAUAAUAUAUAUGAUAUAGUAUAAUAUAAGCAUUACCAAUAAAAAAUUAAUUUCUUAUAUGAUUUUAAAAAAUGAUUUUAAAAAAAUUAGGUUAGAAUUCAGAAAAUUUCUUAAUAAAAAAAUCUAUCAAAUUAAUUAAUAUCUAUUCGAUUUAAAAAAAAAACUUAGCAGAGGAUUUAGUAUGAAAAAGAAAUAAAAUAUCAUUAAUAAAAAAAAAGUUAGAUUAAAAUUCUUAUAAAACUUUUUUAAAAUAAGCGAAUUCUUUAUCUAAAUUUAAUUUGAAAUGAUAACAAAAAUUUCUAUAAAAAACAAAAAAAAAACUUUUGACAGAUAGUAUACAUAAUCUGAAUCUGACUGAAUCUAAAACGUAUAUCAAAUUUUCCGAUUCCAUGGAGCAAGAUGAUACGAAAAUCGUUUUAAUGCCAGGUCGUCGCCCGUGACAUUUCAAAUACUUUCAAGUAACCGUACGCUUCUCCUCUCUCCAUGUACUGUCGAUUAAACAUGGCGAGAGUCGUCGCAAUUAUAGCUCACGAGAAAGGACUUUCGACUAGCGAAAAAUUGGCGAUUCACUUUUGUAAUCAUUUAAACAGCUGAUUUGGACCAGUCAAAGUUACACCAUGAACUAACUGCAAAUAAUUUUCAAUUUCCAUCGAUUUUCGAUUUUCAUAGAUAGUAUAAGUUAUCAAAGUUAUUCAAAGUUAUCCACCAUUCAAAUAAAUUCUUAAAUGGAAAUUUCUCUAAGAAAUUAUUCGAACAAUUCGACGUUGAGGAAUAGUUUCAUUCGACUUGUUGAGGAAUAACAAUCGAAACCAGACUGUCUGUUUGGAGAAUGGCCGACUGUAAUACUGUAACCGUGACCCGUUCGCUUACCAAGUAAUAAUUCGCUUCCGCGGCUUUCGUAGUUUCUCUUUUUUGUGUGGCCUAAGAACGAGAUGGAGCGAUUGUAAUCUGACGAACGAGUAUAACGACGCGUGCUAACUUAAUAAACCAGUUGCCCCGGGUUAUAUAAAUGAAUCGUGGAUUCGAAAAGUGUUACUAGUUGUACGAUUUAGUUACCGAUUAUAUUAAUUAGAUGAAAAUAAUGGUCGAAUAUCGAAUUAUUUUGGAAAUGAUCAAAUGAUUUCAAUAUCGGAUUAAAACAAAUUUCAAUUGUAAAUAAUGAUUUAUAAAAAUUAAAAAUAAAAAAUCUUAGAUCAAAUUGAGAUCAAAAA